AACUUUCAGCAAUGGAUCACUUGGCUCUCGCAUCAAUGAAGAACGCAGCGAAAUGCGAUAAGUAAUGUGAAUUGCAGAUUUUCAGUGAAUCAUCGAAUCUUUGAACGCACCUUGCGCCCCUUUGUAUUCCGAGGGGCAUGCCUGUUUGAGUGUCAUCAAAUCCGCAACCCCCUCCGAUUUGGUUCGGUGGGGCGUGGACUUGGAGCGUGCUGGCGAAGGUCGGCUCCUCUUUACACGCAUCAGCGGAGAAAAUGCCUUUUGCGCCUCUGGCCGUUCAGCGUGAUAAUGACGUUGCGCUGCGGUCGAGCUCAAGGUCCGCUUCCAAAGGUCCUCGGACGAACGUAAACAUGACUUUUGACCUCAAAUCAGGUAGGACUACCCGCUGAACUUAAGCAUAUCAAUAAGCGGAGGCU
rnacentral:misc_RNA from 1 species